GCUGAAUCCUCCGCAGAUUUGGAGCUCUGUUGUACCGGUUCUUGUGGCUGUUCAAUCGGCAAACCUUCAAAUUCGUCCUCGUCCCAGUAAUUGAAGCUGGUCGGAGACGGCUUCGGAGAAUCGGAGACAGAGGGUGGAGAUUGAGGAUCCGACGGCUCGCUCACCGGAUCCGGUGUAUCAGAAUCGCGAUCCGGCGAAGAAAUUCCGGCAGGUUCGGGGUCGG
rnacentral:misc_RNA from 1 species